rfam:Fukomys damarensis contig161091, whole genome shotgun sequence.
GCCAUCUUCAGAUACAAUGGACAGUAUGCUGUUAUAAUUGUAUGGCAUUGUCCUUGCUAUUUGGAGAUAAU